UACGUAGGGGGCGAGCGUUGUCCGGAUUUAUUGGGCGUAAAAGGCUUGUAGGUGGCCACGGCAAGUCGGAUGUGAAAUCUCCCGGCUCAACUGGGAGGGGUCAUUCGAUACUGCCGGGCUCGAGGCCGGUAGGGGGAAGCGGAAUUCCCGGUGUAGUGGCGGAAUGCGUAGAUAUCGGGAGGAACACCAGAGGCGAAGGCGGCUUCCUGGACCGGUCCUGACACUGAGGAGCGAAAGCGUGGGGAGCGAUCCGG
rnacentral:rRNA from 1 species